CUACGGGACGCACCAGUGGGGAAUAUUGCACAAUGGGCGCAAGCCUGAUGCAGCCAUGCCGCGUGUAUGAAGAAGGCCUUCGGGUUGUAAAGUACUUUCAGCGGGGAGGAAGGGAAUAAAGUUAAUACCUUUGCUCAUUGACGUUACCCGCAGAAGAAGCACCGGCUAACUCCGUGCCAGCAGCCGCGGUAAUACGGAGGGUGCAAGCGGUAAUCGGAAUUACUGGGCGUAAAGCGCACGCAGGCGGUUUGUUAAGUCAGAUGUGAAAUCCCCGGGCUCAACCUGGGAACUGCAUCUGAUACUGGCAAGCUUGAGUCUCGUAGAGGGGGGUAGAAUUCCAGGUGUAGCGGUGAAAUGCGUAGAGAUCUGGAGGAAUACCGGUGGCGAAGGCGGCCCCCUGGACGAAGACUGACGCUCAGGUGCGAAAGCGUGGGGAGCAAACAGGAUUAGAUACCCGCGUAGUC
rnacentral:rRNA from 1 species